rnacentral:piRNA from 1 species
UACAAGUUGCUCUGUUAUGAUAGGAGCUU